UUUGUCUAAUACAUGCAAAAUAAUAAUUUUUCCAAGGUUCAUAACUUAUCUAACAUGGCAUGGGGAACUUUUAAACAUAAAAGAGUUAGAUGAGAUUACAUACCUUUUGAUGAGAUUGAUUCCUUGGAGUUUGAGAGCCAAGCACCAAUAGUGUGAAUGCCUCAAAUGGAAAUCACAAAUCACCACAAACACUUGGAAACCUUUAGAGAGUGUACACACACUUGUAAUUUUCGGCCACACACAAGCACACACACUAGUGGCUAUUUCAUGCAACAUAAGCAUGCUUAUAUAGUGUACAUGGUUAGGGUGAAACCCUAAUAACCCAUGACCUUUCCUUUUCCAAGGAUCCAUGGGUUAAAAGCUCCAUGGAUCAUCCAUGGACUUCCAUAUAAGCCUAGCCCAUUAACAAAUGAGUGUUAGCCCACACCAUAUAAAACCAAUAGCCCAUAAUCUAAUUAGUCUUCCUUUUAAUCUCUAAAUUAAUUCAUAAUUAAUUUAAGACUAAGACUAAUUAAAUAACAUGACUUCAUAUUAAUAUAUUAUAACUUAUAAUAUAUUAAUAAACAUAUGUGUAUAACUCUCAUAAAAUUAACCAUAAAUAGUUCGGGUGAAGUGCAACCCAAAUGGACCAUGCCGGGUCGGGUCAAGUAUAUACCAAAUAAGUUAUGGACUUAGACACCUUAUCCAACAGACUCCCACUUGGAUAAGUCUAAUAACUAUAUUUGCCUAUAACUUCAGGAACCAACCAACAAUCGUAGCUCUCGAAAACUCCCUCGAACAAUGAAGACUCUGUCGAACUAUGAAGCGCCAUUUUAGAUAAGUGAUCACAUAAUCCUCUGUUCUCAUGAUAUCAGCCGGACAAACACAUGGAACUAUGUCUUGCUUAUUGUCUAGCAGUUGUUUCUCGAUUAUCCGAUUUGUUUGACGAAGAACUUCACUGAACACAUCGGUUUAGUUCUGACCAGGCCUGGUAUAUGGGUCAACACAAAAUCAUCGAGGGGCCCGGAUAUCGCUUCUAUUUCUAGAAGGAACAGAUAAACUUCGACUGAUAUGCUUGUUCUACUACUUAUUGAAUUGUACACAAAGGCACGUUUUAUAACAUCAAGUUACUGAUGCGUUUACGUGCAAUCAAUGCACAACCAACUCAUAGGUAACAACUCAUAUCUCUAGGUUUAAAGAUUUAUAUGAUGUUAUCGUCUCACGAUCACUCGAGAUAAAUUCCAUGAAGUGAUACAAGUGAGCGUGGGUUUAUACCAAUACUCAUAACUUAUGAGUACUCAUGAAUGUUGCAGCAACCAUUGCCAUGCCUAAACACCUUUAAGGCAUCUACAAACCCAAUUCAUGACAAUCUUGAUUCAUACCUACUUCCGACGUAUGAUCGAUUGUGGAGGUUUGAACAAAUUAAUUAUUCUGGAAGUCAAAACAUGCAAAACUGAAACAAUAGUAAAUAAUUGACAAUGAUAGUAACACUUUACUCAUAAAUAAAUCACAAAUUUUAUUCAUCAUCAAACGUCGAUUACAUUUUACAAGUUUCAGGAAAACUAUCUAAUCUGUAAAACUAAUAUCGUCCCUCAGCCCGAUGCGUCUCGCAUGCUGAAAAUGCUUAACCCUCGUCAGUCCCUUCGUAAGGGGAUCUGCAGGAUUCUCAUCUGACGAUAUCCUCCUUGUCACAAGGAGUCCUUCUUCAAUCUUGUGCCUUAUGAAGUGAUAUUUUCUGUCAAUGUGUCGGGAUCUGCCAUGAUCUCUUGGUUCCUUGGCUAAGAUAACCGCAGCAUUGUUGUCACAGAAAAUCUCUAUAGGUUCCUUAAUAGCUGGUACAACUCCAAGGUCUCCGAUGAAGUUCUUUAGCCAUAUCGCCUCCUUCGCUGCUUCACUCGCUGCUAUAUACUCUGAUUCACAAGUCGAAUCAGCCACCGUCUCCUGCUUGGAACUCUUCCAAGAAAUUGCCCCUCCAUUUAAGGUAAAGAUCCAGCCCGACUGAGAGCGGAAAUUAUCCCUAUCAGUCUGAAAACCAGCAUCACUAUACCCUAAUAUUCUCAAGUCAUCACUGCCACCAAGGGUAAGGACCCAAUCCUUAGUCCUCCGCAGGUACUUGAGAAUGUUCUUUACCGCGGUCCAAUGAGCCUUGCCAGGGUUCCCCUGAUACCUGCUGACCAUGCUCAAAGCAAAUGCCACAUCAGGACGGGUACAAGUCAUAGCAUACAUGAUCGAGCCAACUGCGGAAGCAUAUGGUAAUUGGCUCAUCUCAGCUAUCUCAGCCUCUGUACUCGGACUCUGAGUCUUACUCAGUUUGGUAUUGCUUUGGAUCGGUAAAUCUCCUUUCUUGGAAUUCUCCAUGUUGAACCUUUUCAACACCUUAUCCAAGUAGAUACUCUGACUAAGUCCAAUUAGUCUUCUACUCCUUUCUCUUAAUAUCCUUAUCCCUAGGAUAUAGGUAGCCUCCCCUAGGUCCUUCAUAGCAAAGCACUUCCCAAGCCAGGACUUAACCUCCUGCAAGGUUGGGAUGUCAUUUCCUAUGAGUAGUAUGUCAUCCACAUACAGUACCAAGAAGCUAACUAUACUCCCACUAGCUCUGACAUACACGCAAGACUCAUCUUCGCUUCUCAAGAAGCCAAACUCUUUUACCUUCUCAUCAAAACAAAGAUUCCAGCUACGAGAUGCUUGUUUUAAUCCAUAAAUGGAUUUCUUAAGCUUGCAUACUCUAUUAGGGUACUCUGCAUUGACAAAACCCUCUGGCUGAUUCAUGUACACAUCCUCAGCCAACUUUCCAUUAAGGAAAGCGGUUUUGACAUCCAUUUGCCAUAUUUCAUAAUCAUGAAAUGCUGCAAUGGCUAACAUAACCCUAAUAGACUUAAUCUUGGCCACCGGCGAGAAGGUUUCAUCAUAAUCAAUACCUUGAGUUUGAGUAAAACCCUUCGCAACCAGUCGAGCCUUAUAAGUAUGCACUUUUCCUUCCAUGUCGGUCUUCUUUUUGAAGAUCCAUUUGCACCCGACUGUUUUACGGCCUGGUACAUUGUCAACCAAGUUCCAAACUUGAUUGUCAUACAUGGACUGUAUCUCGCUGUCCAUAGCCUCCUUCCAUUUAGCAGACUCCGGGCCUGCCAUGGCUUCCUUAACACUGCUAGGUUCAUCCAAAUUUACUAGUGUACUAUCACUAAUAAACGUAUCACCUUCCGUAGUAAUAUGAAAACCAUAAUAAAACGAAGGUGUGUUCCUAACCCGUGUGGAACGUCUCGGAGGUACAGACUCGUCAGCUGGAUCAACAGGAGUUUCUUCCUCAGGUUGAUUGCUAGUGUCUGAGGUUCCUUCACCAAUUGAUUCUUGAAUUUCUUCAAGAUCAAUCUGCCUCCCACUGUCUCCUUGGCUUAUAAAUUCUUUCUCGCGAAAGAUCCCUCUUCGUGCUACAAAGACCACAUUCUCACUGGGUCUGUAGAAAAGGUAACCGAAGGAUUUCUGUGGGUAGCCGAUGAAAAUACACCUUUCACUUCGGGGUUCAAGCUUAUCAUGAGUUUCACGCCUCACGAAGGCUUCGCAACCCCAAAUUUUGAUGUGGUCCAAAUUGGGAACCUUCCCAGUCCACAUCUCAUGAGGUGUUUUGGUAACCUUCUUUGUAGGGACUAGAUUAAGGAUAUGGGCGGCAGUCUCUAAGGCAUACCCCCAAAAAGAGAUUGGUAACGAAACUCGACUCAUCAUAGAGCGAACCAUGUCCAACAAGGUACGAUUACGCCUCUCAGCUACACCAUUCAGCUGUGGUGUCCUGGGAGGAGUCAAUUGUGAGACAAUCCCACACUCCUUAAGAUAGUCAAGGAACUCGGUACUAAGAUACUCACCACCUCGAUCGGAUCGAAGCAUCUUAAUGUUCCUGCCCAAUUGAUUUUCUACUUCCUGUUUGAAUUCCUUAAACCUUUCAAAGGUUUCGGACUUGUGUUUGAUCAAGUAGACAUACCCAUAUCUACUAUAAUCAUCAAUAAAAGUCACAUAAUACCGAUUAGCGUCCCUUGUGGCGGUUUUGAAUGGCCCACAUACAUCAGUAUGUAUUAGGUCCAACAAACCUUCACCCCUCUCACAAGUUCCAGUGAAGGGUGAUUUUGUCAUUUUUCCAAGUAGACAAGAUUCACAACUAUCAUCUGAUUUGAGGUCAAAUGAUUCCAAGACUCCACUCUUUUGGAGUUGGUCUAUGCGUUUCUUGUUUACAUGUCCAAGACGACAAUGCCACAAUGAUGCUUUAUCUAGGCUAGUAGAAGAAUCAAUAUACAACACAUUAUUUCCUAAGUUGUCUACAAUCGACACAGUUUCAUACACGCCAUCACAAGGUAAUGCUUUAAAAUAAAACACAUUAUUAAAGAAAGCAUUAAUACCACCACAUUCAUUAUCAAACGAAAAGGUAAAACCUUGUUUGUACAAAGCAUGAAAAGAAAUAAUAUUCCUCGCCAUUUCAGACGAGUAUACACAUUUAUUCAAAUCUAAUUUUAACCCAUUAUUAAGCAACAAAGUAUAAACUCCAAUCUUGGAAACAGGUGAAGCCUUCCUAUUCCCCAUGAUUAAGUUUAUCUUCCCGUGCUCCACAUCCUCACUUCUUCUUAGGCCCUGCAAAUCAGAACAUAUGUGAAUACCACAUCCUGUAUCAAGCACCCAAGAGUUAGAAUAUGUUGAGUAAUUAGACAAUAUAGUGUAAAUACCUGCAUAGGUGGGUUUCACUUUCCCAUCCUUUAGAUCCUGCAAGUACUUAGGGCAGUUUCGCUUCCAGUGUGCCUUUUCAUGGCAAUAAAAGCAUUCAGCAUCCUUUGGAAUGGCAGAAGGAGUGACAGAACCGUUCUUAGUCUUGGAUGAGGAGCCUUCAAGAGACUUUCCCUUGGUACCCUUCGAAGGGUGCUUCCUCUUUUUCCCUUUGCCUUGCCCAAUAGCUAAAACAGGGGUAGAAGUUGGAGUAGGAGUAGUAGAGGUAACAACCGCUUUACCCUUAAGACCGGUUUCAGCGGUCUUCAAGAGUCCUUGAAGCUUGCUGAGGGUAACUUCCUCCUUGUUCAUAUGAUAUGUCAUUCGAAAAUGAUCAUAACAAGAAGGCAAGGAGUGCAAAAUGAUGUCAAUUGCUAACUCCUCGGGGAUGUUAACAUUCAGCUUCAGCAAACGGUCCACAUACCUUUGCAUCUUUUGCAUGUGGCCCGUGACGGAUUCACCGUCCUUCAUGCGGGUAGUUAUUAUGGAGGAGAUUAUUUCAUACCGCUCCUGACGAGCACUCUGAUGGUACCUUUCCAUCAAGUCUUGGUGCAUCUCAAAAGGGUAGAAAUCUUCAUAUGACUUUUGGAGCUCGGCUGUCAUCGUGGCCAUCAUGAUACAUGCCACCUUAGUAGCAUCUCUCUCAUGAGUCCUGAAUUCAGCGAUCUCCUCAGGAGUAGCAGUAGACUCAUCAAGUUCUUUUAACUCCUUAUCGAGGACAUAUUCCUUGUCCUCGUAACGAGUAACCAUCCUGAUGUUCCUAAUCCAAUCCAUGAAGUUGGAACCAUCAAAGAUGACCCUCCCACAAAGAUUCAUGAGAGAGAAAGAACCAGUUGGGUUAGAGCCUGAAGCAUUAGUGUUGGAAGACAUCUGAAAGAAGAAAGUAAGUUUAGAUUAGAUAUUUAGGAUCCUUAAUAAGACACCCAAAUGUAAUAUUAAGGCUAGGAUCCAAUCACAAUAUAUUACACUUAGAAGAGGGAUGCCGUAAUCUAAGUAAUAAUAUAUUUGAAAGGUAGGCGAAUGACGAUUCACCAAUUUCCACCAUGAAAACGAAAUGAUUAAUUAGGUUUAAUUGGAUUUGAAAUUCCUAGAUUCUUUUGAGAUUCAUUGAACUUUUCAAUGGCAUGUUUCAAUCUCGAUUGUGCCCUUCAAGUUUUGUGACUGGGAUGCCGAGGAUCACAAAACAAGGUGUGAAUAACCAUGCUAACUCACUUGGUACUCCUAAUAUUAUCACCUAAUCAAUGUGCCGGUUAACCACACACGCUCCAUUGAUCUAUGACAACAUUAAGUUACCCUUCGUGAUCCUUACUAGUCUAAUUAGUGUGCCGGUUAACCACACACGCUCCACUAACGACUUGGUAAGGUACAAAGUGUGAAUUCCAUGGAUUAGCACCAUGUUCACAUUUUCCUAAAAUAACUAAGAUUGGGAAUUAAAAGAGUUUAGUUAUUUUAUAAUAUUCAUUAUACUUUUAAUGAGGAUUUAAAGUCGUUGUUCUACCCGUUCGGCUAACGACCCUCCACCGAUCAAGCAAGCGGUGGGUGAGAGUAUACACCCAUUAAGUCGCCAUUUUAUAGGCAACAACCUUAUACCCACCUUAUAGACCGGCUUCGUGAAUGAGGCCUACUAACGGUAAAACGACUUAUUCUUAUACAUAUAUAUAAUAAUUAACCAUUAAUGUUAUAAAUAGUAUAAGGGUUGAAUUUUAACUAUUAAAACUCUAAGGUUUGGAAUUAAAGUUUAUUAAAGUGUGUGAAACUUUACAAAUUCCAAAACUUGAGGACAAGUUUUGUAACUUUGCAAAACUCUUCAUUUCAUAACUUAUGAAUUAAAGGUUCAUAAAAAUGAAGACUCUUCAUUUUCAUGUAACUUAUGUGUUUUAAGUGUGUGUUAAAUGAAAGUGACCUUUGGUAAUCCAUAACUUGAGGACAAAUUAUGGACUCCAUUAAAACACAUAAAUGAUUAAGAAUUAAUUCUAAACAAUUCAGCAAAUAAUUCCUAUCAUUUUCUAAAUUCAUAAGAACAUGAACAUGAUCAUCAAAAAUUCAAGAAUUAUAUGAACACAUAAAAUCAUGGAUUUUUGAUAUAUGCUAUUGUAAAUGGAUUAGAACAACCAUUACACCAACUAAAAUAAGUUUUACAACACCAAAACAAUUUAGGGUAAUGUUUCCAGUCCAUUUCCAGCAGCAAAAGUCGAGAUUCUGCAUUCUUUCGAUCCUACUCGCCGAGUGCACGAACGGACUCGUCGAGUAGGUUGAAGUUUGCCUUGGACUCGGCGAGUCCCCCCAAUGGACUCGGCGAGUCUAGCAUCCAGACAGCAACGAUUUCAACUUUUUUCACUAUUUUGCAUCAAGUAUCAAACAAGCAAGCCUAGGCUCUGAUACCACUGUUGGGUUUUGAGCAAUCUAACACUUCCUAAGUGUGCAUGCAACCCUAAUAAACCUUGGAUCUAUGUUUGUUAAAUACAUGCAAAAUAAUAAUUUUCCAAGGUUCAUAACUUAUCUAACAUGGCAUGAGGAACUUUUAAACAUAAAAGAGUUAGAUGAGAUUACAUACCUUUUGAUGAGAUUGAUUCCUUGGAGUUUGAGAGCCAAACACCAAUAGUGUGAAUACCUCAAAUGGAAAUCACAAAUAACCACAAACACUUGGAAACCUUUAGAGAGUGUACACACACUUGUAAUUUUUGGCCACACACAAGCACACACACUAGUGGCUAUUUCAUGCAACAUAAGCAUGCUUAUAUAGUGUACAUGGUUAGGGUGAAACCCUAAUAACCCAUGACCUUUCCUUUUCCAAGGAUCCAUGGGUUAAAAGCUCCAUGGAUCAUCCAUGGACUUCCAUAUAAGCCUAGCCCAUUAACAAAUGAGUGUUAGCCCACACCAUAUAAAACCAAUAGCCCAUAAUCUAAUUAGUCUUCCUUUUAAUCUCUAAAUUAAUUCAUAAUUAAUUUAAGACUAAGACUAAUUAAAUAACAUGACUUCAUAUUAAUAUAUUAUAACUUAUAAUAUAUUAAUAAAAAUAUGUGUAUAACUCUCAUAAAAAUAACCAUAAAUAGUUCGGGUGAAGUGCAACCCAAAUGGACCAUGUCGGGUCGGGUCAAGUAUAUACCAAAUAAGUUAUGAACUUAGACACCUUAUCCAACACAUUCUCAC
rnacentral:lncRNA from 1 species